rnacentral:rRNA from 2 species
AGACCCGAAACCCGGUGAUCUAGCCAUGGGCAGGUUGAAGGUUGGGUAACACUAACUGGAGGACCGAACCGACUAAUGUUGAAAAAUUAGCGGAUGACCUGUGGCUGGGGGUGAAAGGCCAAUCAAACCGGGAGAUAGCUGGUUCUCCCCGAAAGCUAUUUAGGUAGCGCCUCGUGAAUUCAUCUCCGGGGGUAGAGCACUGUUUCGGCUAGGGGGCCAUCCCGGCUUACCAACCCGAUGCAAACUGCGAAUACCGGAGAAUGUUAUCACGGGAGACACACGGCGGGUGCUAACGUCCGUCGUGAAGAGGGAAACAACCCAGACCGCCAGCUAAGGUCCCAAAGUCAUGGUUAAGUGGGAAACGAUGUGGGAAGGCCCAGACAGCCAGGAUGUUGGCUUAGAAGCAGCCAUCAUUUAAAGAAAGCGUAAUAGCUCACUGGUCGAGUCGGCCUGCGCGGAAGAUGUAACGGGGCUAAACCAUGCACCGAAGCUGCGGCAGCGACGCUGAUGCGUUGUUGGGUAGGGGAGCGUUCUGUAAGCCUGCGAAGGUGGCCUGUGAGGGUUGCUGGAGGUAUCAGAAGUGCGAAUGCUGACAUAAGUAACGAUAAAGCGGGUGAAAAGCCCGCUCGCCGGAAGACCAAGGGUUCCUGUCCAACGUUAAUCGGGGCAGGGUGAGUCGACCCCUAAGGCGAGGCCGAAAGGCGUAGUCGAUGGGAAACGGGUUAAUAUUCCCGUACUUGGUGUUACUGCGAAGGGGGGACGGAGAAGGCUAUGUUGGCCGGGCGACGGUUGUCCCGGUUUAAGCGUGUAGGUGUGUGUUCCAGGUAAAUCCGGUUCACUUUAACACUGAGGCGUGAUGACGAGGCACUACGGUGCUGAAGCAACAAAUGCCCUGCUUCCAGGAAAAGCCUCUAAGCAUCAGGUAACAUCAAAUCGUACCCCAAACCGACACAGGUGGUCAGGUAGAGAAUACCAAGGCGCUUGAGAGAACUCGGGUGAAGGAACUAGGCAAAAUGGUGCCGUAACUUCGGGAGAAGGCACGCUGACACGUAGGUGAAGUGAUUUACUCAUGGAGCUGAAGUCAGUCGAAGAUACCAGCUGGCUGCAACUGUUUAUUAAAAACACAGCACUGUGCAAACACGAAAGUGGACGUAUACGGUGUGACGCCUGCCCGGUGCCGGAAGGUUAAUUGAUGGGGUCAGCGCAAGCGAAGCUCCUGAUCGAAGCCCCGGUAAACGGCGGCCGUAACUAUAACGGUCCUAAGGUAGCGAAAUUCCUUGUCGGGUAAGUUCCGACCUGCACGAAUGGCGUAAUGAUGGCCAGGCUGUCUCCACCCGAGACUCAGUGAAAUUGAACUCGCUGUGAAGAUGCAGUGUACCCGCGGCAAGACGGAAAGACCCCGUGAACCUUUACUAUAGCUUGACACUGAACAUUGAGCCUUGAUGUGUAGGAUAGGUGGGAGGCUUUGAAGUGUGGACGCCAGUCUGCAUGGAGCCGACCUUGAAAUACCACCCUUUAAUGUUUGAUGUUCUAACGUGGACCCGUGAUCCGGGUUGCGGACAGUGUCUGGUGGGUAGUUUGACUGGGGCGGUCUCCUCCUAAAGAGUAACGGAGGAGCACGAAGGUUGGCUAAUCCUGGUCGGACAUCAGGAGGUUAGUGCAAUGGCAUAAGCCAGCUUGACUGCGAGCGUGACGGCGCGAGCAGGUGCGAAAGCAGGUCAUAGUGAUCCGGUGGUUCUGAAUGGAAGGGCCAUCGCUCAACGGAUAAAAGGUACUCCGGGGAUAACAGGCUGAUACCGCCCAAGAGUUCAUAUCGACGGCGGUGUUUGGCACCUCGAUGUCGGCUCAUCACAUCCUGGGGCUGAAGUAGGUCCCAAGGGUAUGGCUGUUCGCCAUUUAAAGUGGUACGCGAGCUGGGUUUAGAACGUCGUGAGACAGUUCGGUCCCUAUCUGCCGUGGGCGCUGGAGAACUGAGGGGGGCUGCUCCUAGUACGAGAGGACCGGAGUGGACGCAUCACUGGUGUUCGGGUUGUCAUGCCAAUGGCACUGCCCGGUAGCUAAAUGCGGAAGAGAUAAGUGCUGAAAGCAUCUAAGCACGAAACUUGCCCCGAGAUGAGUUCUCCCUGAGACUUAAAGUCUCCUGAAGGAACGUUGAAGACGACGACGUUGAUAGGCCGGGUGUGUAAGCGCAGCGAUGCGUUGAGCUAACCGGUACUAAUGAACCGUGAGGCUUAACCUUACAACGCCGAAG